CGGGUGGCGGAAGCCGCAGAGCAGCUCCGGGCGGGAGUAGGGGUGGGAGAGGGCGCGGAAGGUGUCCAGCGGGCGGAUGGAGGGGGCGAAGGGCGACGAGGCCGCCGCCGCCGCCGCCGCCGCCGCCGCCGCCGCCGCCGUCGUCACCCCGACGUGGGGGUAGUAGUGCAGCGGCACGUGCGAGUGGAAAGGGUACGGCAGGCUCCCCGUGGCCGCCGCGUGCGUCAUCAUCCGUUAUACUGUGAUUAUACGACAACGACCGCUACGGAAAAUAAAUGAUCGAUUUUUUUCAUAAAAGCGAAGGGAAAGUUUCCACCUCCAGGAAUCGCAGAGAAACAAAGACUAACGGGAUUUUCUGGUGGUUCGACAAAAAGGGCGAGGAAGAGGACAAUUCGCUGGGCAUUAUGCAAUAAAACAAUCCCAACCGAUA